UCCGGAAUUAUUGGGCGUAAAGAGCUCGUAGGCGGUGUGUCGCGUCGGCCGUGAAAACCUGGGGCUCAACUCUGGGCGUGCGGUCGAUACGGGCAUCACUGGAGUUCGGCAGGGGAGACUGGAAUUCCUGGUGUAGCGGUGAAAUGCGCAGAUAUCAGGAGGAACACCGAUGGCGAAGGCGGCACUCUGGGCCGGUACUGACGCUGAGGAGCGAAAGCGUGGGUAGCAAACAGG
rnacentral:rRNA from 1 species